rnacentral:tRNA from 1 species
GCCCGGGUGGUGGAAUAGGUAGACACAAGGGACUUAAAAUCCCUCGGAUUUAUAAUCCGUGCCGGUUCGAUUCCGGCUCCGGGCACCA